AUUGAACGCUGGCGGCAUGCUUUACACAUGCAAGUCGAACGCCCCGCAAGGGGAGUGGCAGACGGGUGAGUAACGCGUGGGAAUCUACCUAGUUCUACGGAACAACAGAGGGAAACUUCUGCUAAUACCGUAUACGCCCUAAGGGGGAAAGAUUUAUCGGAAUUAGAUGAGCCCGCGUAAGAUUAGCUAGUUGGUGGGGUAAUGGCCUACCAAGGCGACGAUCUUUAGCUGGUCUGAGAGGAUGAUCAGCCACACUGGGACUGAGACACGGCCCAGACUCCUACGGGAGGCAGCAGUGGGGAAUAUUGGACAAUGGGCGCAAGCCUGAUCCAGCCAUGCCGCGUGAGUGAUGAAGGCCCUAGGGUUGUAAAGCUCUUUCAGUGGGGACGAUAAUGACGGUACCCACAGAAGAAGCCCCGGCUAACUUCGUGCCAGCAGCCGCCGUAAAAC
rnacentral:rRNA from 1 species